rnacentral:lncRNA from 1 species
UGUUGGAUAUUCUGAGUAUGGUGAAGUAUGCAUGAAGGUUGUGAAUGGUCAACAAGAAAUUAGUUACUCCUUGUAGGAGAAGAAAAUAUUCUAUGUGAUCUCAUAGGAUGAUGACUCUGAGAGUCUCUGGCCGGAGCAGGGAUGAACAAUAAAAAAAAUUUCUACUGAUUCAUUAAUCGAGUCAUCAUUAUCAGAUUAAGAUACAUAUGGAUAGAUAUUUGAGCUUGACAUGAUUUCAUGUCCAUGAUUUGUCUGGGAUGUUGUG